rnacentral:tRNA from 1 species
UUAAUAGAAGCCAAAAUAGCGGCACCUCACUGUUAAUGAGAAAACUGAUACUUCCUAUUAAG